AGCGUCUGACAUGCAUGCGAAGUAGAGAGUCUGCAUAUCCAGACCUCUGCGAAGGUUUAUAUUAGAUAAUUUGGAAUUUGAUCCCUGGUUCUACUAUGAUUCAAAUAAGGAUUUGAUCUUUAAACAAGUAGAAUAUUAGAGAAAAUUUUUAGAUGUAACCUGGGCAUUCUAGUUUAACUUGAUAAGUUGGUCACUCUUAAUUG
rnacentral:lncRNA from 1 species